GACAGAGGGUGCAAACGUUGUUCGGAUUCACUGGGCGUAAAGGGUGCGCAGGCGGCCAAGUGUGUGAGGCGUGAAAGCCCGGGGCUUAACCCCGGAAUUGCACCUCAAACUACAUGGCUAGAGCAUUGGAGAGGGUAGCGGAAUUCACGGUGUAGCAGUGAAAUGCGUAGAUAUCGUGAGGAACACCAGAGGCGAAGGCGGCUACCUGGACAAUUGCUGACGCUCAGGCACGAAAGCGUGGGGAGCAAAAGGG
rnacentral:rRNA from 1 species